CGGGGACCCGCACAAGCGGUGGAGCAUGUGGUUUAAUUCGAAGCAACGCGAAGAACCUUACCAAAUCUUGACAUCCUUUGACAACUCUAGAGAUAGAGCCUUCCCCUUCGGGGGACAAAGUGACAGGUGGUGCAUGGUUGUCGUCAGCUCGUGUCGUGAGAUGUUGGGUUAAGUCCCGCAACGAGCGCAACCCUUAAGCUUAGUUGCCAUCAUUAAGUUGGGCACUCUAAGUUGACUGCCGGUGACAAACCGGAGGAAGGUGGGGAUGACGUCAAAUCAUCAUGCCCCUUAUGAUUUGGGCUACACACGUGCUACAAUGGACA
rnacentral:rRNA from 1 species